GUCACAUUGGUCUGUGUUUAUUUGCAAGGGUGAGAGUAUAACUCUGCACACUGGACUCCACAUCAGGUAAGAUCCUGACAAUAAGAACCAUUCGGCCCAUCUAGUCUGCCCAAUUUUCUAAAUACUUUCAUUAGUCCCUGGCCUUAUCUUAUGUGUAGGAUAUGCCAAUUCUACACAUUCUUAAACUCCUUUUCUGUGUUAACCUCUACCACUUUAGCUGGAAGGCUAUUUCAUGCAUCCACUACCCUCUCAGUAAAGUAAUACUUCCUGAUAUUAUUUUUAAACCUUUGCCCCUCUAAUUUAAG